GGCUUCAAUGAAGAGACUGCUGGCUUUGAUUGAUGAUGUCUAUAAAUAUGUGGAUGAUAUUGUUGAAGGACGUUUGCCCCCGGACAAUAAUAUUGGGAGAGUCAUAGCUGAUACUUUGGCAUCAGUUCCGAAAAUACCUCCUGCUGUUUUUGAUAAGCUCUUCAAUGACCGGAUUCAGGACAACUUUGCAUUGGUCUACUUGUCAAGUCUCACUCGGACGCAGCUCACUAUAGC
rnacentral:misc_RNA from 1 species